UGGGGGCCGCACUUCCGCCUUGGUGUCCGCGGGUCUGGGCCCGGGGCUGUUGCGGGAGCAGCUUGUGAACUCCUUGAGGGUAUGGUCUGUCUUCCUGCAACACUUACGGGCCAGAACUUGAAAACUGCAUGCCUAGAAGCACAUGGUUUUGUGUGUGCCUGUGUCAGUCUUGCAGCUCCACCAAUGAAUAUCUGCAAAUAAAACAAAUCCCUGGCCUUGGCAAAUUCUGCAAAGUAUUUCAAUAUAUUUCUCUGUAUACAAGCAUUUCAUUUGAUCACCUGUUAUAGAUACUCCAGCAGGAGGUAAGAUCGCUAGGAAUUCUAAAGUUGUCUAAAAAUCUUAUGGUGUUAAUAUGCUUAUUUUUUGUCCCAGAUUUUCAGCGGGUAGAAGACCACUUUCACCCACAAAAUGUACAUGAGUUUGAGUACCUCGAUUUUGUUGUUGUUAUGUUUUCAGAUACAGCAGUCGCAUGCACAUGUGGCUAACGGUGCAUGCAGUUGCAGAAAUGGGCGUGCACUUCUGAAUUUGGCCCUUUCCAUCUUAUUAUCAGUAUUAUAAAUCUCGGAAUCAAAGUUUCAGAUGUUAGAUAUCUUUGUUGAUGGUAAUUGUGUUGUUAAUUCAGCAGUGUUGGUAAAGAUGUAUGUAUUGAAAGGAGAGUUUUGUUUUGAACAAUGUGGUUUUUCUAGAAAUUUUCAGAAACCAAGUGUUGCUAAACAAUUUUUUAUAGUAAAACAAGAAUGUUGUCUACUGUACUUCUAGAGUUACAAAUGAAACUACAAUAAAUUUGUUAGUGACUGAGUGUGAGGGUUAUUGACAUGUUGCAAAGUGGACUAACAGUAAGAGGAACAGCAUUUUUUAUUAAAAUUUUAUUUGAAAUAGAUAUCCUAGGUCAAGAAGUUAAACUUUCUUAAUACUUUAAUUCUUGAAGACCACAAACAUGUUAGACUGAUUCCUGUUUAUGUAAACGUCUGUGCAAUGAAUAUUGCUUUUGAAGAGAUGGCACUAUAGUAGAAAUUCUGAUUUUACUAACUUUCAGUAAGUUCUCAUCAUGAAGCCCUAAGUAAGUGGUCUGUAGGACUGUUUGUACGUGUUAGUGCUGCACAAUUGGGUUCUGUCCCAGUAAUUGCUGAUGUAUAUAGAAGCAUGAUUGUUUACUGGUAGCACUUUGCACUAUGUUGAUAAGUCGCUAGGGCUACAACAGCUGACUUUUUUGUUUUGUUUCGUGGCUUAUUUUCAUGACGCUUCAAGAUUAGGUCUCCAUGGAAAUGGCUGAUAGUGGGGUACCUUGUACAGAACAAAUGUAUGAUUGGAUAUGUAUGAAGAGAAUUGAUGAGCAUUGGCAUUAUGCUUGAUAAGAUGCUUCUGAGUUCUGAUGCCUAUAAACUAAACCUGUAACUACUCUUUACUGUUCUGUGUUUUCUGCCUUGCUGUUCUAUACAUUAACUGAUCCUGUAAUCCUUAAAUUUUAAUGGUCACGUAAUGGCAUUGGUCACAAAAUGUUAAGUAUGAUUAGCUAUGGUGCUAUGUGAGCAAAUGGGUAUGUUGCUUUUCUCUUUUACUGAACAUGCUAGAGUAAGUGGUAUUCAAAACCAUCCCGUGGAUUAUUUGCCUGUUGCUAAGAGCUCAGGAUUCUUGUGGGCUUACAGUGUGGUGCUUAUGUACUGCAGCAAAAUGGGUGGGUAGUCCUACUAUUAUACCUCGUGUACCAAUUGCUUAAUGCUGUUCUGCUUAGGA